CCUCUCUCAUCCUUCACUGCUGUCACUCCUCCUUUUACCCUUCCGGAGCUCCUCCGUGGGACUCGAGACCGGGGAGUGGUGCAGGGGACG